rnacentral:rRNA from 1 species
AGUGGCGGACGGGUGAGUAACGCGUGGGUAACCUGCCUCAUACAGGGGGAUAACAGUUAGAAAUGACUGCUAAAACCGCAUAAGCACACAAAACCGCAUGGUUUGGUGUGAAAAACUCCGGUGGUAUGAGAUGGACCCGCGUCUGAUUAGCUAGUUGGAGAGGUAACGGCUCACCAAGGCGACGAUCAGUAGCCGACCUGAGAGGGUGACCGGCCACAUUGGGACUGAGACACGGCCCAAACUCCUACGGAAGGCAGCAG